rnacentral:rRNA from 1 species
CAACGCCGCGUGGAGGAAUCGAAGGUCCCUUGGGACGUAAACUCCUUUCGAUCGGGAAGAUAAUGACGGUACCGGAAGAAGAAGCCCCGGCUAACUUCGUGC